AAAAGUGUUAGACGAUCUCUCUUAUUUGGAAUUUCGAAAUGUCAAGUCUAGUUUACGAUGAUAUGAACUUGUGGUAAAUGGUUGGAGUUCUGAUUGUAUAAAUUACUUAGCUUGUGGAUUUAUAAAUGUUGUUCAUAUUUGUUAAGUUGGCUUGGGUUGUCAUAAAUGUGAAUUAUCGAGUGAUGUGAUAUAUGAUUAUAAAAUACACAGGUUUCAUAGAUGUGAAUUUGAUAGAAUGUUUUUUCAGUGUCCUCAAAUGUUAGUUUGGAUCUUGGAUUGAUUUAUGAUGAAAAUUUUAAUAUUAUCGAUAUUUUUGAGGGGCGUGACAAAGGUGGUAUCAGAGCAUGGUUUGAGGAUUACUGAAAUAUUUGAUAUGUUGACGUGCAAAAUAUAUUGAGGUCUAAUGAACUAUAAUGAUUGGUGGAAAUUUUUUUGAUGCAUUUUAGGAAUCUAGGAUGAUGAGGACAUUUGGGUCGUCCUGUUUCAUUUGUUUCUGAUUAAUUAAGGUGGAUGAAAGGGUUGAUUAAUUAAGGUGGAUGAUUGAGGUCUAACUUGCCGCUCGCUCGCGCAGCCAAAUAUGGCUAGUUUUGGCUCAUUUUUGGGCUGUUUUGGCUUGUUUUCGGG
rnacentral:lncRNA from 1 species